rnacentral:rRNA from 1 species
CCUACGGGUGGCAGCAGUGAGGAAUAUUGGGCAAUGGGGGCAACCCUGACCCAGCCAUGCCGCGUGAGUGAAGAAGGUCUUCGGAUUGUAAAGCUCUUUCGGACGUGACGAUGAUGACGGUAGCGUCUAAAGAAGCACCAGCAAACUACGUGCCAGCGGCCGCGGUAAAACGAAGAGUGCGAGCGUUGAUCGGAAUUACUGGGCGUAAAGGGAGUGUAGGCGAAUAUGUAAGAUAGGGGUGAAAUGCCGGACCUCAACCCCGGAACUGCCAUUAUGACUAUGUAUCUAGAGUAAUGAAGAGAAUAGCAAAAUACCCGGUGUAGAAGUGAAAUUGGUAGAUAUUGGGUAGAACAGCGGU